UUUGAUAAGAGGUGGUAAACUUUAGCAGGUCACAUCGGAUGUUCAGAUGCUACAUCUGAUGUUAAUUAGGAGGAGCUAAUUAUAAAACUAAUUGUACAGAUGGAGUCUAAUUCGCGAGACGAAUCUAUUAAGGCUAAUUAAUCCAUCAUUAGCAAAUGGUUACUGUAGCACCAUAUUGUCAAAUCAUGAACUAAUUAGGAUUAAUAGAUUCGUCUCGCAAAUUAGACUCCAUUUGUGUAAUUAGUUUUGUAAUUAGACUAUAUUUUAUACUCCUAAUUAGUAUCAAACAUCCGAUGUGACAGGUGCUAAAGUUUAACAUGAGUAUCAAACACCCCUAUGGUGCACUAGCUCCUUCAACUACCUAGGUUAAACAAUGGCGCCCCAAAUGCAAGUGGUGAGAAGCGAGUGUCAUCAACUGGCCGAACAGGCUUAGAAAAAUUAAUCACCAGCGAUCGAUCCAGUAGUACAAGCGGCUGAACAGCGACAGACCUAAAGCACGCACCACGGCACUGCACCAGCUCGGAACAGCACAUUUAGGGGAAAGGCGCUUUAAUACGCCGCGAAAUUACCACCGGGAUACGCCAUCACACUUCAGUUUCACACACACACAUGCCAUGCCAUGCCAUGCCAUCAAAGGAUUUUAAUUUCCAAGCACAUCAGAGGAAUAAAAUGUCCUUCUGAAAAAAAAAAGAAGAGAAAUGUAUAUAAAGAAGUAAGAAAGGGUCCGUGCAUGCAUCUCUUU
rnacentral:lncRNA from 1 species